rnacentral:lncRNA from 1 species
ACAAGUAAGUUGCUUUAGAGUAAGUAGCUUUAGACUGGAGUGGGACUUAGGGGUGACUCUAUCUUGACUGCACACUGUACCUGGUGGUCUCUUCUAGCUAUUUCUUCUGUUCAGGAUCCAAGCUUGAUUAACAUGGGGUUGGAUUCCCUAUUGUUAGUGCCGUUAUCCCAUUUCCCAGGUCUCUAGUGGUAGACUGAAUUAGCACUCUCAAUAACUCAUUUCCUCUUCUGGGGAAAGAGGAUCAACACUCCUCCUGGUGCCCUGCAACUUGAGCAGCCUUCUCCACCCCAGGGAUGUCAGACAAAACCAUGGUCUUAUUUUUGGUGGAUGAAAUACGAGUGGCUGCAUCAGUGUGGAGUUAUGAGCAGAGAACUAGGAGCUGUCAUGUGGUCUGUCUUUGCUCUCGAGGCUGCCCUCUAUCACAAACGGCAUGAACUCAAUCCCAGGAGAAGAGAGAAGUGCAGGUGAGGACCCGGCAGCACACCAGCCAGGUCGCAGUCAGCAGGCUGAGUAGGAAUAGAGACAGAUGCUGAUUUCUUUUUGCUCAGAGAGCAAGCAGUUCCUCAUUCUCUCCAAAGCCAUAGCCUGCUACCCAGGGAAGAACUACUUGUGAAUAGCUGAUGAUAUAUAUUUAUGUGCCUGUGGUUGGGAUACUAACGCAACCGUCUCUAGUAAAAGCAUCCUGGCACACCUCUUUGCCUAGGAGGGCUGAGUGCACCAUGGGAGAGAGGCUAAGAUACCAGUGCAUAUCUAGAGAAGCAUUUUUAUGUUAUUGAAUUUGCAACCUCAGUGUUUAACCUGAUGAAAUUACACCCUGGUCUUCUGGCCUGGCCAAUGCAUGUAAGGCCCAGUCUAUGCCACCUACUUUAUCUUGAUGUCAUCUGCCAUUGAAUGCCAGUCAUUACAUGGCUCUUUUGGACUGCCUUACCCAGUCUCUGGUAUGGAGUCUCCUUACCUCACAGCUAUAACAGCUUCUUGGAAGUCCCCUACCUUGCUCCCCCUGUGCUGGAAUGAUUCUCAGCAGCCAUUUUGCCUAAGCAUGGUGCACUCUUAUCUUGCCUCAUUUGCUCUUGGCAGGUUUCAGCACUGGGUCAGUGAAACCACCUGGUCUCCUGUCUAAGUCACUCUUCUGCUGCUUUGAGGAGAUGCUAUGUCCGAGGCAUCUUAUAGAAGAAAAUGUUUAAUUUGAGCUUGCUUACAGCUUCAAAAAGUCGGUGACCUUCAUGGUGGGAAGCAUGGUCGCAGACAGGCAAGUAUGGUGCUGGAGUAGAUUCAUCUGAUUUGAAACUUGGAGGCAGAGAGAGAAAAGGAGGAGACUGCGCCUGGUGUGAGCCUUUGAAACCUCAAAGCCCAACCCCGAGUGACACAGCUCCUCCAAGCAGGGCACACCUCCUAAUCUUUCCUAAACAGCUCCACCCACAGAGAAUCAAACAUUCAAAUAUGGGAGUCUACGGGGGCCACUCACAUUCAGACUACCACAUCUAUCUGUGAUUUUGGUGUAACUGGGUAUAAUGACCUACACCUGCAAUCCUAGCACUCAGGGGUAUAGAAAUUUAAGGUCAUCCUUGGCUUUAUACUGAGUUUGAGGUCAGCCUGAGCUACAUGAGACCCCAUUAAAAAAAAAGUCAAGAGUACACUUUAAAAGUGUAGAAAACAUUGAUGAAGAAACCUUUAGUGUAACCAGCAUUCCAUCCAUGUCUUUAUUUUGAAUCUGACCAUUUCCAAAUGGACUCACUCUGUUAGUGAUUUUCUCAUUUGGAGGUAGGCACAGUGUAGUUCUUUAUCUAUCUAUCUGUCUGUCUGUCUGUCUGUCUGUCUGUCUGUUGGUCGAUCUAUCUAUCUAUCUAUCUAUCUAUCUAUCUAUCUAUCUAUCUAUCUAUCUAUCUAUCUACCUACCUAUCUACCUACCUAUCUACCUACCUAUCUACCUACCUACCUAUCAUCUAUUUACUAUCUAUCAUCUAUCUAUCUAUCUAUCUAUCUAUCUAUCUAUCUAUCUAUCUAUCUACCUACCUACCUACCUACCUACCUAUUUACUAUCUAUCAUCUAUCUAUCUAUCUAUCUAUCUAUCUAUCUAUCUACCUACCUACCUACCUACCUAUUUACUAUCUAUCAUCUAUCUAUCUAUCUAUCUAUCUAUCUAUCUAUCUAUCUAUCUAUCUAUCUAUCUAUCUACCUAUCAUCUAUUUACUAUCAUCUAUCUAUCUAUCUAUCUAUCUAUCUAUCUAUCUAUCUAUCAUCUAUCUAUCCAUCUACCUACCUAUCUAUCAUCUAUCUACAAUUUAUCUAUCUCUCAACUAUCUAUCUAUCUAUCUAUCUAUCUAUCUAUCUAUCUAUCUAUCUAUCUAUCUAUCUACCUACCUACCUACCUACCUACCUACCUACCUAUCAUCUAUUUACUAUCUAUCAUCUAUCUAUCUAUCUAUCUAUCUAUCUAUCUAUCUAUCUAUCUACCUACCUAUCUAAUGUAUCUAUAAUUCCAUGAUUGUCAGAUUCAAGCCUACCAGUAUGUUUUUUAAAGCCUUAUUUCCUAGAGGUUGGAUCGUCCAGCAUGGAAAAGACAUACUUGCUCUCAGUUACCUCAGACUGGAAGGGACAUGUGACAUUCAUUCAUAGACUAGAUGAUGAACUGCCCUGCUUGGCGCCUGCUUCCCGAUGCUACCCAAAGCAGCUUUGUGGACUGCUGCUGAUUCCAGAUCAUCCAGCCUUUCAGACAGACUUAGUCAGAACUUCAGUCAAGCCCUGAGCCUUCUAAACACACCGAGACUGGAUAACAGAUGC